UCGACCUCCUUGCCUAUAUCUCCAAACUGUCAAUAACUCUGAACUAUGUAACCUACUAUUUUGAUGGAGCAAAAGGAAAAUAACACCUGAACUUAUUAAAAGGCCAGGGCCCACUGGUUUAUCAACAUAGACUGGCUGCCCCAAUUUUAGUUCUCCUCCUGUCUGGUUUGGGAAGUCCCUCAGACGUUAAAUAGAUAUAGAUUUAGAAAACUAUAAAGGUCAAUCUCCAAACUAAUGGUUUCACUAUACUCUCUGACAGAAAUAGUCUUACAAAACAGAUAAGGUCUAGAUGGUCUCUUUCUGAAACAAGGACGACUUUGUAUGGCUCCAGGAGAAACUUGUUUCUUUGCAAACCAUUCUGGGAUAAUAAAGAACAGUUUGGUGCUUGUGAGGAACAGGUUAAAGGAAAGAGAUGAAGCACUAGAAACUUCAGGCGAUUGGCUCCAAAACCUAUUCUCAUGAUCCCCUUGGUUGACUACCAUCAUUUCAGCCAUAGUUGGGCCCCUAAUCCUUCUCCAGAUUGGUAUUACUGUAAGACCCAGCCUCUUAAAAACCCUCCUAAACCAUAUACACAAGAAUAUAGGUGAGGUCAGAGUUAUGGUCCUGCAAACCCAGUAUAUUCCCUUAGAAACAGAAGGAUGGAAAAAAACAACAAUAACAACAACAAAAUAAAACUGAGGCCUCAUGAUGUUCAAGAUUGACAUCAAACCGACUAAAACCAGUGGGGAAUGUGAUAGUAGAAGCAAAUGUGACUCCAUUUUGUUUUAUGACUUCAUCCUGUACAACAACCAUGCCAAGUAGAAGAGUCAUAACUGGGGCAAAAUGUUCUUUUCCUUUUGAGAACACAAAACUACCUAAUGGGGUAUUGUUUCUGUAACUAGGGUAACGGGGCUCUGUUUCUGUAACUGGGGUGACAGGGCUAACUGUAAUUGGAUAGGCUUCCCUCAGCUUGACUGCACAUCCUGCUUCUGUAACCUGGCUUGCUUGCAUUGGCUAGACCCCCCGAACAUCCCUUUUGCAGUUUUCAGGCUUAUUAGGAGUGCCCUUGGAAUUGUUCGGGGCUUAUGAAGGGAACAGCUUUAUGUUCUGGUCAAUCACCACCUGUGUGCUUCAAUAAAGGCUUGAUUGGAUUAUAUG
rnacentral:lncRNA from 1 species